rnacentral:rRNA from 1 species
GAUGAACGCUGGCGGCGUGCCUAAUACAUGCAAGUCGAGCGGACUUUCAAGAAGCUUGCUUUUUGAAAGUUAGCGGCGGACGGGUGAGUAACACGUGGGCAACCUGCCUGUAAGACGGGGAUAACUCCGGGAAACCGGGGCUAAUACCGAAUAAUAUCUUUCUUCGCAUGAAGGAAGGUUGAAAGGCGGCGCAAGCUGCCGCUUGCAGAUGGGCCCGCGGCGCAUUAGCUAGUUGGUGAGGUAACGGCUCACCAAGGCGACGAUGCGUAGCCGACCUGGGAGGGUGAUCGGCCACACUGGGACUGAGACACGGCCCAGACUCCUACGGGAGGCAGCAGUAGGGGAUCUUCCGCAAUGGACGAAAGUCUGACGGAGCGACGCCGCGUGAGCGAAGAAGGUCUUCGGAUCGUAAAGCUCUGUUGUCAGGGAAGAACAAGUACCGUUCGAAUAGGGCGGUACCUUGACGGUACCUGACCAGAAAGCCACGGCUAACUACGUGCCAGCCGCCGCGGUAA